GACGAACGCUGGCGGCGUGCUUAACACAUGCAAGUCGAACGGAAAGGCCCUGCUUUUGUGGGGUGCUCGAGUGGCGAACGGGUGAGUAACACGUGAGUAACCUGCCCUUGACUUUGGGAUAACUUCAGGAAACUGGGGCUAAUACCGGAUAGGAGCUCCUGCUGCAUGGUGGGGGUUGGAAAGUUUCGGCGGUUGGGGAUGGACUCGCGGCUUAUCAGCUUGUUGGUGGGGUAGUGGCUUACCAAGGCUUUGACGGGUAGCCGGCCUGAGAGGGUGACCGGCCCACUUGGGCCUGAGAUACGGCCCAGACCCCCCCGGGGGGGAGCGGGGGGGAAUUUUGCACAAUGGGCGGAAGCGUGAUGCAGCACCCCCGGGGGGGGGAUGACGGCCUUCGGGUUGUAACCCGCUUUCCCCUGGGACGAAGCGGGGGUGCCGGUAAUGGGUAAAGAAGCACCGGCUAACUACGU
rnacentral:rRNA from 1 species